rnacentral:rRNA from 1 species
UACGGAGGGGGCAAGCGUUGUUCGGAAUCAUUGGGCGUAAAGAGUAUGUAGGCGGCUAUUUAAGUCAGGCGUGCAAGCCCACGGCUCAACCGUGGAAUUGCGUUUGAAACUAUUUAGCUUGAGUACAGGAGAGGAAGGCGGAAUUCCCAGUGUAGCGGUGAAAUGCAUUGAUAUUGGGAAGAACACCGGUGGCGAAGGCGGCCUUCUGGACGAUGACUGACGCUGAGACGCGAAAGCGUGGGUAGCAAACAGG